rnacentral:lncRNA from 1 species
UGGCUGUAACCAGAAUCCUUAUAUUUUAGGUACAGACUUUUAUUUUUAAUAGUUUUCCUAUUAAGACUUCUGGAUUCUCCAAAACACAGCCUAAUGAAGUGAGGAGACACCCGUGUUUGAGUUUCUGCUGGUCUCAGCAGGUAAAUACCAGUGUGCACUGAGUCUGUUUACUUACCUGAAAAAGGAAAAAUGACCAUCCCUAGCUUACAGGACCCUUGUGUAGAAUAAUGAAAUACAAAAUGUGGCAUACAGUGAAUGACUUGUCAAUAAAUAGUAUAUGAAAUGGCAAAUUGACCUGAUGGGAAUAUGUUGACCACAUGGCUAUAUUAUAUACAGAGAGUGGAUACACACAGGGGUUUGCAUAAAUCUUUCUGUGUGUGUGUGUCUGUCUGUCUGUCUGUCUGAGUAGUUUCAGAACCUUGGCACUGAAUGAGGCUUCUGUCAAACCCUUGAAGAACUUAUCUUUUUUUCUGAUCUGAAAUUGACUUCCUCAAACUGAGAUCCUAUGUGAUCGUCUUAUAAAAUUCUUGGGACCCAUUCAUCUUGUGCCAACUCUGAAUAAAAUAUAUUGAGGAAGCCCCUGAGGAGACAGAGGGAUAGUUGUUAUUCCUAUAGUUUCGCAAAUGCACCCAGCUCAUUGAUUUAAGCAUAGCUUAACCUUUGAAGAAUGUGGGUUCUCCCUAGCAGUAGCAUUCUCCAGCAAGCUCAGAGUAGGCAGCAAAAUUAGAGCUUGACCACGUACAAAGGACUUUCCUACGUAUCACUCAGCUCAGUGGCUUUCUGCCUGGGGUUCAAUGACAAAGAACUGUGUCCACUCAUCAUCAUGAUCAUUGCCAAGUCUUUUCUUUCAUUUAUUCCAGGGAUCAAAAGUCACGUGGGUCAGAUUUGAAUUUCUCAGUGUCAAAGAAUUAACCAGUACCCUCUGGUGGAGGGCAGCUAGAAGACACUGUAAGGCAAGAAGAGAAAAGCAAGAUCUGAAGACAUCAAUAGAAAACAGGACCAUGAGAAUUCGCUCCAUUUCCUCUACACUCCAGUGGUCUGUCGUCUUGGCUCCGUGAGGUCAGAGGAGUGCUCAUUUUGGAGAAGCUGGCUUAGCAACAAGCCCCUUCUCUGAGAACUGGCCCAGGAACAGCCCUGCUGGAGGAGCAGCCACACGAACCACAUCCGGUCCUGGACCAGCGGGGCACUAGCCGCCACUACCCACUCAUCUCCAGAAUUGCAACCCAAAGAGGUGGAGACAGCAUUACCUGGUCGUGGGCUUCUGGCUU